UACGUAGGGUGCAAGCGUUGUCCGGAAUUAUUGGGCGUAAAGAGCUCGUAGGCGGUUUGUUGCGUCGGCUGUGAAAUCCCGAGGCUCAACCUCGGGUCUGCAGUCGAUACGAGCAAACUAGAGUGUUGCAGGGGAGACUGGAAUUCCUGGUGUAGCGGUGAAAUGCGCAGAUAUCAAGAGGAACACCUGCGGCGAAGGCGGGUUGCUGGGCUGACACUGACGCUGAGGCGCGAAAGCUAGGGGAGCGAACGGG
rnacentral:rRNA from 1 species